rnacentral:rRNA from 1 species
GGAAACGACUGCUAAGACUGGAUAGGAGACAAGAAGGCAUCUUCUUGUUUUUAAAAGACCUAGCAAUAGGUAUGCUUAGGGAGGAGCUUGCGUCACAUUAGUUAGUUGGUGGGGUAAAGGCCUACCAAGACUAUGAUGUGUAGCCGGGCUGAGAGGUUGAACGGCCACAUUGGGACUGAGACACGGCCCAAACUCCUACGGGAGGCAGCAGUAGGGAAUUUUCGGCAAUGGAGGAAACUCUGACCGAGCAACGCCGCGUGAACGAUGAAGUAUUUCGGUACGUAAAGUUCUUUUAUUAGGGAAGAAUAAAUGAUGGAAAAAUCAUUCUGACGGUACCUAAUGAAUAAGCCCCGGCUAACUAUGUGCCAGCAGCCGCGGUAAUACAUAGGGGGCAAGCGUUAUCCGGAAUUAUUGGGCGUAAAGGGUGCGUAGGCGGUUAAAUAAGUUUAUGGUCUAAGUGCAAUGCUCAACAUUGUGAUGCUAUAAAAACUGUUUAGCUAGAGUAAGAUAGAGGCAAGUGGAAUUCCAUGUGUAGUGGUAAAAUGCGUAAAUAUAUGGAGGAACACCAGUAGCGAAGGCGGCUUGCUGGGUCUUUACUGACGCUGAGGCACGAAAGCGUGGGGAGCAAACAGGAUUAGAUACCCUGGUAGUCCACGCCGUAAACGAUGAGUACUAAACGUUGGGUAAAACCAGUGUUGAAGUUAACACAUUAAGUACUCCGCCUGAGUAGUACGUACGCAAGUAUGAAACUUAAAGGAAUUGACGGGACUCCGCACAAGCGGUGGAUCAUGUUGUUAAAUUCGAAGGUACCCGAAAAACCUCACCAGGUCUUGACAUGCUUCUGCAAAGCUGUAAAAACACAGUGGAGGUUAUCAGUUGCACAGGUGGUGCAUGGUUGUCGUCAGCUCGUGUCGUGAGAUGUUGGGUUAAGUCCCGCAACGAGCGCAACCCUUAUUGUUAGUUACCAGCACGUAAUGGUGGGGACUUUAGCAAGACUGCCAGUGAUAAAUUGGAGGAAGGUGGGGACGACGUCAAAUCAUCAUGCCCCUUAUGACCUGGGCUACAAACGUGAUACAAUGGCUGUUACAAAGGGUAGCUGAAGCGCAAGUUUUUGGCGAAUCUCAAAAAAACAGUCUCAGUUCGGAUUGAAGUCUGCAACUCGACUUCAUGAAGUUGGAAUCGCUAGUAAUCGCGAAUCAGCAUGUCGCGGUGAAUACGUUCUCGGGGUUUGUACACACCGCCCGUCA